AUUCCAGAGAUAUCGAUUGGCUUUCAACGCUUCCACGCCCACAGAGCUCUCCACCACUCAAAAGUGGGCGGGGCCUCAGGAGGAGGUGGAACUGAGAUUGGCGGGAAACCUUGGCAAGAAAUGCUUGUGGUCGCUUAGAGCUGCCUGGCAGUCACUACCAAGUUAACGCUGCUUACAUCCUCGUGAUUUACCUGUGAGUUGCUGACACUCUCCAGUUUCUCACUGGCCCUGCCGGAUGCACCUGAAAUCGCUUCAGACGACAGCUUCGACUCGGAGUGAUCGAAUAUGCAACUAAACCUCUCAUAAAGUAUCCACAGAAAUUUGGGGUGUUGUGUGACUGCGAGAAGAACAAGACUACCACAAGAAAGGCCACAAAAUAACGGUCUGAUGACUCCAAUAUUCCUUUACCAUCCUUGGAACUCAAGAAUCUGGAAUCAAAAACUACAUAAGGCCCAUCCUGGCUCCUGGAAGAGACAGCCUGGCUCCUGGGAGAGACAGCCAACCUCCUGGGACACAGCUAAAGGUCACUGCCUGGAGACAAGUGGAGGCAUCCGGGCCAUUGUGUUCCAGGGAGAGACAGAUGACCACCUGACCCUAGGAACAGCUAACUGCCCAGGGCGAGAAGGCUGCAGUCUUCUUUCAUCUGAAAUUUUCCCUGAGCUUCAAAACCCUUAACCACACCUUGUUUAUUCCCUGUUAUAAAAAUGCUGGCUUGGAAAGAAAAAGUAAGAUGGUCUGUUGGGGUAUGAUGAACUCACCAUCUUCUCAGAUUGCUGGCCAUCUGAAUAAAGUGCCCAUAAAGAUCCAAUCCAUGUUUCUGCAUAUUGGGUUUGGCACGUGACAGGCAGCACGAACGCCAGUGUCUUUUCUGGUUUCACAAUUUCUACAACAAAGUUUUCUUUUUCUCUACCAUGGACUACCUUGACAGUCUGAUGAAGCCUAUGGAUUCCCUGUCAGAAUAAUGUUUUUAAGAGCAUAAAAUAAAUUACAUGAAUUUGGGCACUUUUCCUUAUACUAUAUACAGAAAUUAACUCAAAUUGACCAAUAAUCUAAAUGUAAGAGCUAAACCUAUACAAUUCUUAGAAGAAAACAUGAGUGAAUAUUCAUGCCUAUAGAUUAGACAAUGGUUUCUUUUGCCUUUUUAAAAACAGCUUUACUGAGCCGGCCAGUUAGCUCAGUUGGUUAGAGCGUGGUGCUAAAAACAGCUUUACUGAACUACAGUUCACAUACCAUAAACUUCUUUCAUUUAAAAUUUAUACAAUUCAAUGGAUUUUAGUAUAUUUACAGGGUUGUCUAACCAUCACCAUGAUCUUAUUUUAGAAUCUGAUUUUUUUUUGUAUUUUUAAACAAUAAGGAGGAUUUAUUGGUUCAUGUACAGAGAUGAUCAAAGAAUGAUUCUAAGGUCUGGAUUUUUCUGUCCUUCUGCCAUUUUGGUGUUAAAAAACAGCUUUACUGAAACUAAUUUACAUAUAAUUCACUUAUUUGAAGUGUACAAUUCAAUAGUUUUUAUAUGUUCACAGAAUUGUGUAACCUUCUCCUAGGCAGCAGUUUCUUAGGUAUGCCAUCCAAAGCACAAGCCACAAAGAAAAAAUACUGUUCUACAUCAAAAUAAAAAACUCCUGUGCUGCAAUUUAUAUUAUCAUUAAUGGAAAGUUAACCCACAGAAUGGGGGAAAUAUUUGCAAAUCAUAUAUAUCUGAUAAGGAGCUUAUAUCCAGAAUAUAUGAAAAAUUAUUACAUAAUUAAUUUUUUUAAUUAAUUAAGAGAUGAACAACCCCACUAAAGAAUGGGCAAAGGUGUUGAAUGGACAUUUCUCCAGAGAAGAUACAUGAAUGGCCCAUAACAACAUAAAAAAAUACUCAACAUCAUUAGCCAUUAGAGGAAUGCAAAUCAAAACCGCAAUGAGAUAUCACUACAUACCCAAGAAGAUAACUAUAAUAAAAAAAAAGACAUGUAGUAAGGCAGAACAUUGAGGAAUUGGAAUCCUCAAACACUGCUGGUAGUAAUACAAAGUGAUGCAACAAGUUUGGAAAACAGUCUGGCAUUUCUUCAGAGGUUAAACAUGGAGUUACCAUAUGACCCAGCAAUUAUAUUAGGUAUAAACUGGUUAGAAAUGAAACAUACAUCCACACACAAACUUGUAUGGGAAUGUUCAUAGCAGCAUUAUUCCAAUAGCUGAAAAAUGAAAGCAACUUAAAUGUCCAUCAGCAUGAAUAAAUAAAAUAUGGUAUAUUCAUGAUAUGUACAUGGUAUAUAUGGUAUGUACAAUGGAAUAUUAUUUGGCAAUAAAAAGAAAUGAUGUUCUGAUACAUGGUAACGACUUGGAUGAACCUCAGAAACUUUAUGCUGAGUGGAAGAAGCCAGUCACGAAAGACCACAUAUGGUGUGAUUCCAUUUAUAUGAAAGGUCAGAAUAGGCAAAUCUUUUAAGACAGAAAGUAGAUUAGUUUUUGUCUCAGGCUGGGUGCAGGGGGGAAGAGAGUAGGAAGUAACUGCUAAUGAAACUGUUUUUGUGGUGAUGAAAAUGUCCUAAAAUUAGAUUGUACUGAUGCUUGUAAAAUUCUGUGAAUAUAUUAAACCCAUUAAAUUGUGUACUUUAGAUGGGUGAGUUUCAUGUUUAUAUGAAUUAUAUCUCAAUAAAGAUGUUUUUAAAAUAAAAUGCAUAAGAGUCCAAAGGAAACCAAUUUCAAUGACAUUCAGUUAUCAGAAUAUUAAAAAACAAAUACGUGAUGUAAUAUGUAUGUGCUUCUUUGUUAACAUGUUAAAUCAUGAGAUGUAGCAGCGAGUCUGCUACUGCCAUAAUUUUGAAAUAGUAAUUAGUGAAUAUGGUGUUUUAAGACAUAAGCAACCAAUGUAAAAGCAAUAAGAAAAUGUCUGAUUUUUGUUGAUGAAAACUCCUAAGUACUGCUAACACUCUGUUUUCUUGUCUGCAUUAAUAAUUAAAGGACCGCAUGGCCAACUUAAGCCUACAAAGAGGAGGAAGUGACAGAUAGGGCAGAGGUUGGGGAGACCCUGAGGGAAAUCCUCAAUUUCAAUUAAAGGUCAGUGAAAAUAAUGAUGUAACUUUUUCCCUUCCAAAUUCAUGGACACCCUGAAUUCUGUGUAUAGACCCCCUGGGGGUCUAUCAAGAGAGUAAGAAAGCUGGUUUAAAAUUCACACUUUCCAACAUAGUCCGGUUCUUGAAUCCAACCCUUUUUCCUCUCUUAUUCAAGGGGAUUAGAUAGAAAAGAAAAAAUUUUAUGUGAACUACUAGAUUGAGUCAGUGUGAAAAAGAGAGGGACCCGAGAUUUGCUUGUCUUGCAGUUUUUUUCAAAAAAGGAUUUUGACGAUGACCCACUUUCCUACGUGGUCCCUGUCCCAACCCAUCACCACACCGGCUCAUACAAUGCCUAAGCACCACCACCAUCGAAUGAUGCCA